CACACAAAUAUCAGCUGCAACCAGUCAACACACAAUUUAUGUGAAGUGAUUUUAUGUUUGCCAGAGACUGUUCGAAUGACAGAAAACUUGAAAUGUCUCUCCUACUAGUAAUGUAGCCAUCUAAUUGGCUUCCUAUCCCACAGUCUUAUAAGAGGAGCUGGAAGAUCUAAAAUCAGGAUCUUUAACUAUGGCACAGUCAAGAUUGUGGGGAUCGAUCGAUAUGUACAGUGAAACCUGGCUGUAACAACAUUCAAAGGACCUGGAAAAUUAUGUUGUUAUAAACGAUUGUCAUUGCAACCGAGAUUCGUAUUUUCAGUCUAUUGUGGUGGCAAAUGGAGAAGAAACAUUUUAUUUGGCAUUGUUUUAUUUUUACAUACAUUAUUUACUCUUAAGCUUACAUGAAUACCCUGCAUAAAGCAGUAUGUCGAGUAUUCAUCAAACUUCUUCACUUAGGAAUGAAGUAAUCAGUCAUUUUACUCUACAGUUUACUUGCCCAACACACGCUUCCUACAUUACUUUCUACGUUUAUUAUUUCAUUUGCAAUUUUACUUCUCCCUCCCCUAGCUUCAUAGAACAUGUUCACAAAUCCAAUGGCUUCUAAAGCGUCACUCACAGUAGGGACAGGCACUUCAUUUUUUUCUUCUUCCUCUUCUUCUUCAUCUCCUUCCCUCAUUUCAUGGUCACUGUGGCACUGAUUCUUCACUACAUUUGCAAUUUCGUCCUCAGUUUGAGCUUCAGUUGUAACAAGGUCAUCAUCUGUUGUUGUAUACAUUUCAUAGUCGCAUUGAUUGAGAAUAUUACCGUUGAUUUCUGGUAGAAAUGCAGUUAGCGGCAGAGCAUCAGAGUCAUAGAAGGUGUCUUCAAUUUCGGCGGCAUUUAUUCCUUCAGUUGUUCUCCCAAAUGAGGGAAAUAGUUCUUGAAGUUUGGGCUGCGACCCAGCUCCGAGGAUUGCUAAUGCAUGUGAUCAUGUGAUUGCACAUGUAAGUGUAAUAGAGUAAUCCUACUUUUUCCUAAUGCAUUGUACCAUUUUCAGUAAUAUCAGCUGACCACAGUGGCAUUUCAGAUUCCUAAUUACUUCUUGGUCCAAGGGCUGCAAUAAACUUAUGGCAUUUACAGGAAGAAAAACAAGCUUAAUAUUCUCCAGAUCAGUGGAUGAAGGGUGGGCUGGACUGUUGUCAACAAGAACUAAUAUCUUCCUCUUCUUACUUCUAAACUUCCGAUUCUAACUCCUUAUAUCAGAUUCAAAGAGUUUGCACUUUUUAUUAGCAUUGCAGUGCACUGAGGAUUCUUUACAUUCUUAAAACACAAAGAGUUUUUUGAUUCCCCCAUCAUAAGCAAUUUUUUCUUCUCAGUUCCAUCUGCACUUGCACAAACCAGAACUAUUAUUUGUUCUUUGGAUAACUUCUCACCAACACAUUUUCGCCUUUGAAUUUCAGAGUUUUGUCAGGGGUCAAUUUACAGAAAAUGCCAGUCUCAUCUGCAUUAAAGAUGUCUGCAUAUCCUUCACGAAUUUUAGCCCAUAUAGUAGUGAGCCACUGUUGGUUUGUUGCAGCAUUUACACUGUUGGUUUUACCCCUCACUUUGCCAAAAAUAAUGCCAUGAAGUUGCUUGAAUCUCUCAAUCCAGCUUCCACUGCACAAAAAUUCCUUACUUUUUAAUUUCUGGGCAACUUCUUCUGCUUUCACCAUAAGGAGAGGUCCACUAAAGGGUACAUUCAUGCUUCUCCCUGCUGCUUAAACUACUUAAGCAGCACUUCAUUCACGUCGCUCCAUUCAGUUAUUUAUAACCACUUAAUUUUAGAUCAAUUUUGUUCAAAUGCAGUACCAACUUUACCCUUGUUCUUCCAAAUCAUCUGGACUGUGAAAUUCACAGGGCCAAAUUGACAACACACGUCAACCUUUAUCGUUCCAUUUUCGAUUUCACCAGUCACUUUCACUUUUUCUUCUGCUGUCCAAACUUUUCUUUUACUGAGCAUCCUGUUCUAAAUGCAUACAGUUAAUAACAAAUUGUUAUGGAAGCUGACAUCACAUGCGCUGUUGAUGAGUUCUAUGAUUGUCAUCACUACUGUAGUAUGAAUGCGCUUGGGUAACAGUAAGGUGGGGAGACCACACUACACCUAUUGUUGAUGGAAGGGCAGAGAGAAGAAUAUGCUAGGUUUCCAAAUUACAACACCAGAUUUCCACCUAUAGUACAUUGAUUCUUGGAAAAUCUUGUUGCUAACAGGCUGAAAAUGACAUUACAUAUGAGGUACAUGCAUAUACAUUUGUCAUAUUAGGCAAGGAUAAGAAGGAUGUUUCUUACAAGGAGUAUGGCUGAACCACAGAAAUCACGACAUUAUAGUCGAGUUGUUGUAACCGAUGUUGCUCUAAGAGAGCUCAACUGUAUCAUAGUCAAGUGUCUCGAGUCAGUUGCGAUACAUAUGACUUCUGAUUUAGGAAUAAAGUAUGACCUACUGUACUUGAUGUUAGUGAUAUUUGUGCUAAAACCAUCAAUAAUGGAAGUCAUGUAGUACUGUAAGUGAGGGAAUUAUGCUAACUUGGAAGACAAAUUGUGCAAGAAGGAUGAAGGAAGUAGUGAAUUACACUCUCGCUGUUGUGAACAUGAAUACACAUUCUGCUCUGCCAUUCUCCAGGUGCUGUGGACAUGUAUAUAUGCACCACUUGGUUUUCCUGCAGUGCUGUUGAUAUCUGUAUGUGUCAUCAACCACUACCCCGUCACUGCCGUGGACUAGUUACUUCCACAUCUUGGUGAAUAAAACAGUUUCAAGUA